AUUGAACGCUGGCGGCAUGCUUUACACAUGCAAGUCGAACGGUAACAGGCCGCAAGGUGCUGACGAGUGGCGAACGGGUGAGUAAUGUAUCGGAACGUGCCCAGUCGUGGGGGAUAACGCAGCGAAAGCUGUGCUAAUACCGCAUACGAUCUAUGGAUGAAAGCGGGGGACCGUAAGGCCUCGCGCGAUUGGAGCGGCCGAUAUCAGAUUAGGUAGUUGGUGGGGUAAAGGCUCACCAAGCCGACGAUCUGUAGCUGGUCUGAGAGGACGACCAGCCACACUGGGACUGGGACGCGGCCCAGACUCCUACGGGAGGAAGCAGUGGGGAAUUUUGGACAAUGGGCGCAAGCCUGAUCCAGCAAUGCCGCGUGCAGGACGAAGGCCUUCGGGUUGUAAACUGCUUUUGUACGGAGCGAAACGGCUCUCUCUAAUAAAGGGAGCUAAUGACGGUACCGUAAGAAUAAGCACCGGCUAACUACGUGCCAGCCGCCGCAGUAA
rnacentral:rRNA from 1 species